CAGCCGUAAACUAUGCGCGUUAGGUGUACUGGUGACCACGAGUCACCGGGGUGCCGAAGGGAAACCGUGAAACGUGCCGCCUGGGAAGUACGGUCGCAAGGCUGAAACUUAAAGGAAUUGGCGGGGGAGCACCACAACGGGUGGAGCUUGCGGUUUAAUUGGAUUCAACGCCGGAAAUCUUACCGGGACCGACAGCAACAUGAAGGCCAAGCUGAAGACUUUGCCGGAUUAGCUGAGAGGAGGUGCAUGGCGUAGUCGUGU
rnacentral:rRNA from 1 species